UCCUACGGGACGCAGCAGUGAGGAAUAUUGGUCAAUGGUCGGGGGACUGAACCAGCCAAGCCGCGUGAGGGAUGAAGGUACAGAGUAUCGUAAACCUCUUUUGUCAGGGAACAAAGGCGGGGACGCGUCCCCGGAUGAGUGUACCUGAAGAAAAAGCAUCGGCUAACUCCGUGCCAGCAGCCGCGGUAAUACGGAGGAUGCGAGCGUUAUCCGGAUUUAUUGGGUUUAAAGGGUGCGCAGGCGGUCUGUUAAGUCAGCGGUCAAAGCCCGGGGCUCAACCCCGGCCCGCCGUUGAAACUGGCAGG
rnacentral:rRNA from 1 species